rnacentral:lncRNA from 1 species
AACAUGGAAUAAGACACAUGGAUAAAGACACAUGGAAUAAGACACAUGGAAGAAGACACAUGGAUAAAGACACAUGGAAUAAGACACAUGGAAUAAGACACAUGGAAGAAGACACAUGGAAUAAGACACAUGGAAGAAGACACAUGGAAUAAGACACAUGGAUAAAGACACAUGGAAUAAGACACAUGGAAUAAGACACAUGGAAUAACGACACAUGGAAUAAGACACAUGGAACAUGACACAUGGAAUAAGACACAUGGAAUAAAGACACAUGGAAUAAGACACAUGGAAUAAGACACAUGGAUAAAGACACAUGGACAAAGACACAUGGAAUAAAACACAUGGAAGAAGACACAUGGAAUAAGACACAUGGAUAAAGACACAUGGAAUAAGACACAUGGAAUAAGACACAUGGAAUAAGACACAUAGAUAAAGACACAUGGAAUAAGACACAUGGAUAAAGACACAUGGAUAAAGACACAUGGACAAAGACACAUGGAAUAAAACACAUGGAAGAAGACACAUGGAAUAAGACACAUGGACAAAGACACAUGGAAUAAAACACAUGGAAGAAGACACAUGGAAUAAGACACAUGGAUAAAGACACAUGGAAUAAGACACAUGGAAUAAGACACAUGGAAUAAGACACAAUGAAGAAGCCCAGCUAAUUCAUAUACAGCUGCACGCCUCUCUUUUUCUCUCUCCUCCUCCCUUCCUCCCCUCCUCCUCUCCUCACCCUCCUCCUCUCUUCUCCUCUCCUCCUCCACUCCUCACCUUCCGCCUCUCCUCCCAUCCUCUCUCUCCUUCUGUCCUCCUCUCCUCCGCCUCUCCUCCUCCUCUCCUCCCCACCUCCCCACCUCUUCUCCUCUGCUCCUCUCCCUCCUUUUCUCUUCUCCUCCUCUCCUCACCCUUCACCUCUCCUCCCAUCCUCCUCUCCUUCUGUCCUGCUCUCCUCCUCCCACCUCUUCUGUUCCUCCUCCUCUCCCUCCUCUUCUCUUCUCCUCUCCUCCUCCUCUCCUCCCAUCCUCCUCUCCUACCCGCCUCUCCUCCUCCCUUACUCCUCUCAACAAUCCUCCUCUUCUCCUCCCCCUCUUCUUCUCCCAUACUCAUCCUCUCCUCCUCCUCUUCUUCUCAUCCUCCUCCCAUCCUCCUCUCCUCCUCUCCUCCUCCCCUCCUCUCCUCAUCCUCCUCUCUUCCUCCUCCUCUCCUCCUCUCUUCUCCUCACCCUCCUCCUCUCCUCACCUUCCAUUUCUCCUCCCCUCCUGUCAUGCCUCUCUCCAUAGCCAGUGCAGACAGAUAAGCAGCCAGCCAUAGACUGGCUAAUCCACUGGGAGAAACAGACCAUGAUAGCAAGAUAAAAACCAGCUAGAUAAGCAUGGAGAGAGAGAGAAACCGAGAGAGAGAGACAGAGAGAGAGACAAAGAGACAAAGAGACAGACAGAGAGAAAGAGACAAAGAGCGAGAGAGAGACAAAGAGACAGAGAGAAAGACAUAGAGAGACAAAGAGAGACAGAGAGACAUAGACAAAGAGGGAGACAAAGAAUAAGGGACAGAAGGUUAGAGAAGAGGGGACUAGAGGUAGAGAGACAGAGAGAGGAGAAGGGACAGAAGGGAAGAGGGGACUAGAGGUAGAGAGACAGAGAGAGGAGAAGGGACAGAAGGGAAGAGGGGACUAGAGGUAGAGAGACAGAGAGAGGAGAAGGGACAGACGGGAAGAGGGGACUAGAGGUAGAGAGACAGAGAGAGGAGAAGGGACAGAAAGGAAGAGGGGACUAGAGGUAGAGAAGUGCAGUAGUUGAGGAAAUAGCAGGAGGUUAAUGUGUUUGUAGUCUGCAGACAGUUUGUCUAAUUUGUUUGAGUGUGACGCCAUAUGUGUUAGUGAGGUCUGUAGAUCUCUCUCGUUCUGUCGCUCUCUCAAUUCAAUUGAAUUCAAUUCCAUUCAAAGGGAAGUAUUGGCAUGGGAAACAUAUGUUUACAUUGCCAAAACAACUGAAAUAGACAAUUAACAAAAGUGAAAUAAACAAUAAAAAAUGAACAGUAAACAAAAGAAUAAAGACAUUUUAAAUGUUAUAUUAUGGCUAUAUACAGUGUUGUAAAAAAGCCUGGAGGGAGCGGUUGAGCCGGAUUACCAGACGCCCUAAAUACCAGAUGUAUUUCUGAGUGUAUCUGAGUGGAGCCAAAGAGAGGAAGAGUGUGCAAGUUGGAGCAGAGAAUGAGUCAGAAUUUGAUUGAGAAGAGAAAGAAAGAUGCAGUUUUGCAGACAACCCAGAAGUGGUUCCCCAGAGAGACGUUUUGGAGGUUUUCGUCAGAUGUAGAGCGCUCUCUCUCUCUCUCUCUCUCUCUCUCUCUCUCUCUCUCUCUCUCUCUCUCUACCUCCCUCUCUCUCUCCAUCCCUCUAUCUCCCUCCCUCUAUCUCCCUCUCUCUCUCGCUCUCUCUUUCUCUUUCUCUCUCUACCUCCCUCUCUCUCCAUCCCUCUAUCUCCCUCUCUCUCUAUCUCCAUCCCUCUAUCUCCCUCUCUCUCUCUCUCUCUCUCUCUCUCUUUC